AGAUUGAACGCUGGCGGCAGGCCUAACACAUGCAAGUCGAGCGGUAGAGAGGUGCUUGCAUCUCUUGAGAGCGGCGGACGGGUGAGUAAUGCCUAGGAAUCUGCCUAGUGGUGGGGGAUAACGUUCGGAAACGGACGCUAAUACCGCAUACGUCCUACGGGAGAAAGCGGGGGACCUUCGGGCCUCGCGCCAUUAGAUGAGCCUAGGUCGGAUUAGCUAGUUGGUGAGGUAAUGGCUCACCAAGGCGACGAUCCGUAACUGGUCUGAGAGGAUGAUCAGUCACACUGGAACUGAGACACGGUCCAGACUCCUACGGGAGGCAGCAGUGGGGAAUAUUGGACAAUGGGCGAAAGCCUGAUCCAGCCAUGCCGCGUGUGUGAAGAAGGUCUUCGGAUUGUAAAGCACUUUAAGUUGGGAGGAAGGUUGUAACUUAAUACGUUGCAACUUUGACGUUACCGACAGAAUAAGCACCGGCUAACUUCGUGCCAGCAGCCGA
rnacentral:rRNA from 1 species